ACGCACGCUGGCGGCGUGCUUAACACAUGCCAGUCGAACGGUGAAGCGCCUUCCUUUUUGGUGGGUGUGGAUGAGUGGCGAACGGGUGAGUAACACGUGAGUAACCUGCCCCCUUCUUCUGGAUAACCGCAUGAAAGUGUGGCUAAUACGGGAUAUUCUGGGUCUGUCGCAUGAUGGGUCUGGGAAAGAUAUUGUUUCGGUGGGGGAUGGGCUCGCGGCCUAUCAGCUUGUUGGUGGGGUGAUGGCCUACCAAGGCGGUGACGGGUAGCCGGCCUGAGAGGGUGGACGGUCACACUGGGACUGAGACACGGCCCAGACUCCUACGGGAGGCAGCAGUGGGGAAUAUUGCACAAUGGGCGCAAGCCUGAUGCAGCGACGCCGCGUGAGGGAUGGAGGCCUUCGGGUUGUGAACCUCUUUCGCCAGUGAAGCAGGCCUGCCUCGUUUGUGGGUGGGUUGACGGUAGCUGGAUAAGAAGCGCCGGCUAACUACGU
rnacentral:rRNA from 1 species